rnacentral:lncRNA from 7 species
AAGGAACAGCCCUGCAGGUUGGUGACAGAAGGUUUAGCAAAGGGCUCCUGGAAGCCUUCCCUCUGCCAUACUUCCACACGGCGAAUGUUCCCGUUACUACUUGCAAGCUGGUCACAGAGCACAGCAAAUACCAGAUUCCAGUUUUUCACUGGGGAGAAUCCAAGUGUUUCAAGUGAGCUCAAGCAGAAUUUCGCUGUGUUGAACUGGCCUGAUUUGGGAUGCAAACCGACCUCUGAAAGGCUGAAAUUUCCCGUGGGAGCAGAAAUUCGGAAUUUUGCUCAGCUCCAGUUACUCUGUGCAUGGAAAUGGCUUCCAGCAAACAAACAGCGCAGACAGGAGAUGCACCCGGAAGGCUCACGGCCCUUAGGAAGCUCUGGAAAACCCAAGCUGGAUUUAACAUCAGUGAGAAAACCUGGAAUCAGAGCCGUGUCCCAAAACCCGGAGCUUCUGUGUUGGAUGUCUGCACAUCUCAGCCUUAGAGACCUGAGCAGGGCUCUGGUUACGCCCCAUGGAGGGAGACUAUGGAGGCUCAAGUCCUGCGUAUGGGAUGGAUGACACCAUAGGGGACAUGUCAUCUCACGUGAGAUAAGUGACCCACUAUGCACACAUCUGCCAGAGCUAUCAUGUCCCUGCGAGAGCAUUUGCCCACCACAUCAGAUAACCCCUCCUUCAUUCCUCUGACAGGAUCCAGUCUUCUAUUAUUUACUGAUGUCACUGUAGCCUAGGAGAGAAAUCAACACAGUCAUGAAUUAUGGACAAUGCUGGUAGGACAUUUCACUCUGAUUGUUUGAUUUGAGUGUGAACAAACACCAGAUAAUUAAAGAUGAGUUCAAGC